GUAAACCCUGCAAAAGUAAAAUUGUAUCCAACACAGUCAUGAUUACUAACAGUAUUAGUAUUCCCAGAGAAGAAAGAAUAGUCUUUCUUUAUGAACUUGAAGGAUUUUGAUUUCCAGUUACUGUUAUUUACUUAUCCUUGCAGGAUAAAUAAAACCACAUGCAGCAGUCACCAUCAUUGAUCAGUUUAUGUCAUUUGGCGGAACAAUACUUUCAAUUAAUGCCUUAGCAGAUCCUAUGAUCCUUCUGGAUUUCCUGCAACCUAGACAAACUAUCAACUCUGACUGCUACUUCAUGGUGAUGACUAAGCUCAAGGCUUCAACUUCCAGUCAAGCAGACAAGACAACCCUUCUCUUGCAAAACAAUAACGCCAGGCCCUCUACCAGUUUGAAGACCAUGGAUCACACUGCACUGCCAAUCUUGGCUGGACUGCCCCACCACAUCUACAGUAUAGCCUGGAUUUGGUGCUUUCUGACUUCUAUCUGUUUGGGCCCAUGAAAUAUGAUAUGGAGUAUGCAGGCAACAUUUUCCUGGCAACAACGCUGUCAUAGAAGCUGAGAAGCAGUGGGUAAUCUCCACUGGUGCAGAUUUUUAUGGGCGCAGCAUGGAUGCUCUUGUUCAUCGCUGGUGAAAUGCAUAGCUAAUGGUAGUGACUAUGCUGAAAAGCAAUACUUUGUAGCAGAGAAUUUUCUCUAUUAAAUAAAGUUAUUGUGCUCUUUGUUGUAGUUUCCAUGGAGAUAAAUAGAAGGCAUUAUUUUCAGAGUGACCCACAUAGUUUGGUUCUGUUAUUUGCUCUUCUAAGGCUGUGGGCUGUGUCUUGCUGAUUUUCCAAGUGUGUUCUAUAAAGUGUUCCUCACAUUAUGAAGCAAACAAGGCUUACUGUUGAUAAUGUUUUUAGUUCUUCCUUUCUAAGCAAUCAUAUUAUCAACAUUUUUACCAAGCUCUAGGUGUUAUUGCACAAAUCCUAUUUACAAGAUAUUGAUAAAAGUUUGUUGAUGGUUUAUGGGCUGGUUUGGCCCAGUUCUGUGACUAG
ensembl:lncRNA